rnacentral:rRNA from 1 species
GAUGAACGCUGGCGGCGUGCCUAAUACAUGCAAGUCGAGCGAACGGACGAGAAGCUUGCUUCUCUGAUGUUAGCGGCGGACGGGUGAGUAACACGUGGAUAACCUACCUAUAAGACUGGGAUAACUUCGGGAAACCGGAGCUAAUACCGGAUAAUAUUUUGAACAGCAUGGUUCAAAAGUGAAAGACGGUCUUGCUGUCACUUAUAGAUGGAUCCGCGCUGCAUUAGCUAGUUGGUAAGGUAACGGCUUACCAAGGCAACGAUGCAUAGCCGACCUGAGAGGGUGGUCGGCCACACUGGAACUGAGACACGGUCCAGACUCCUACGGGAGGCAGCAGUAGGGAAUCUUCCGCAAUGGGCGAAAGCCUGACGGAGCAACGCCGCGUGAGUGAUGAAGGUCUUCGGAUCGUAAAACUCUGUUAUUAGGGAAGAACAUAUGUGUAAGUAACUGUGCACAUCUUGACGGUACCUAAUCAGAAAGCCACGGCUAACUACGUG